rnacentral:lncRNA from 1 species
AAUAUUGCAAAAAUUAUGAGAAAAUAAGUUUCUCUAAAAUUAAAAAGUAGAAAUUUAAAAUUAGAUAGCAUAAAUGUAUGGAAUAUUUCCUGAAAUAGCAAUAAUUUAAAUAAUUUAAUGUCUGAUCCAUUGUACUCUUGAAAUAUAAAUAUGUUAAAAGCUAUAAAGAAAGCUGGUUUGUUGAUGAAAUAUUAAGUUUCAUACAACAAUCAGAUUGGAGAAAAACAACUGUUGAUCAAUGACAAUGACAUUAAACUGCAUUCAUGCUCUCUCCUCUGUAUGAUUUGAGAAACACCUUAAAACAAUAUAUAUAUUUCAUAACUGUAAAUUUGAAGUGGUUGGUCCUCUAGCUUUGCAUUCAAUUAUUAUCUCCCUUGUUUUCAGUUCUUAUCUCCCUUUGAUUUGAAAUGAGUAGCUUCCCUUUGCAUGUUUUGCAAGAGCAGGUUCUCUCUGCUUAGUCCUUAUGAGAAAAUUGUAACCUUUAUGCAAAUGGCUUAACCAUGCUGAUAUAAUCUAACUAAAGUUCAAUUAUGAAAAAGAAAUAUUAUUAGAUUAAAGGUUAAAUGUAUUUAUAUUCCCUAUAAACCCAUGGUUCAUGUUGCUAGAUAAAACCUCAGUUAAUUAAUACAAAAUUCAUCUUCAGCAAAUAAAAUGAAAACUUCUAAAGAAUUAAUAACUAAAUAUUCAGCCAUUUUAAUCAAAUUUUUCUCUGUAUAAGUAUGACCAAAUUUUUACCAUUUUCAGACAAAGUUUUAAGUCAUGCACACAAAUUGAAUCAGUCCAUAGGUGAAUAAAACAAGAUGUUCUUAUUCACAGAGCUCAAAAUUUUUAUUGCAGAAGUAUAGGUUAAAUUAGGUGUUUCAUGUGGAUUUUUCAGUUUGAACAAAUAAUUUUUGUAAAUGAGAUAUGAAAUUUGCAAUAAAACUGUAAAUACCACAAAUGGGAGAUAACUCUUUCAAAAUGACAUAAAAGAAACUUGUAACAAGUAAUUUACAUUGUUAUUAUAACAUUUAUGAUAUUGGUGAGUGUUUAUAUAAUAAUUGUAAGUGCUUUAUGCUGAUUUGUCUGUGAUGUGCUUUGUACACAAGGUUUAAAGAUACCAUUGAAAGUUCAACAUCUGUAAAUAGAACAGUUCAUUCUUUGGUCACUAUUUUUAACUGGAAUAUUUAACAAAUAAAUUUCUGUUGGAAUUAAUUCAUUGACACAUUCUGACGUAGUAAAUUGAACAAUCUUUGUCCGAAUUAUCAGAGAGAUGUAUAAAGCUUGUGCUCAGUGUUGAAGGCCUCACAGUAACUUAUAAAUGAUAAAACAGCAAUAACAGUGUUGUACUUUUCCUGUUUGUUUGUCAAGUUUUUGAAAUGAUUUUGUGCCAUGAAACAUAACACCAUGUACUUUUCAAUUUAUUUCUUAUCCUGAGAAUAGACAUGGGGUAAUUGAAAUAUGUAAUUGUAAUUUUGGAUCAGAAAGAUUGAAUUGUGAAUGUUCUCAAAAAAAUAAUGAAAAUCGAUGACCUUAGUAAUUGUUCUUAGCUGACAAAGCAAAGCCUGUACAUUAUAAUCUGAGAAACAAUUUUCAAGGUAAUCUAGACUAAGAACUUUCAUUGGUAUUUUUAUACCAUGUGUUAUAUUAGUGGAUAUGUAUAUAUAUAUAUACACUGUUAUUUAUAAGUCAUUAUGUACUGUUUUACAGUUUGCAAAUAAAUUGUAACAUUAUACAAUACAAACGUCAUUUUUUAACCCAGAUCUGAGUUAUGAAUCUACAGGAGUCCGUUAUAUACUGUGGAUUUAUUAUUAUUUGUGGAUUACCAAUUCUCAUGGAUUUUGUGGUUAAAUGUGAACCAUUAAUUUAAAUGUGAAUCAUUAAUUUAAAUGUGAAUCAUUAAUUUAAAUGUGUACUAAAGUGCCAUUUUUUUAUAGGCUUUGUAUGCAGACUUAAGGAUGUUCGCUGCUCAGUUUUAAAAUAAAUAACUUUUCAUAAAACUAGUAUGUAUUGAUAGGGAAUAAAUUGGAGAAUUAAAAAAGCAAAAAAAAAAUAUAGGGGUCAAUGUGCUUGUUUUUGAGAUAUUAGACUGACAAAAAUUCCAAAACAUGACAAGCAGACAUCCUUAAAAAUACUUUUUUCCCUCAAUCAAAGAAAAAUAAAUGAAUCCACAGUAUCAUUUUUUUUUUUUUUUCAUAUUUAAAUGUAGCACUACAGUUAACUUAAGUUGUUCCCAUUAGUUUGUUUGUCUUAUAUUUCAUGCAUUUUCAGAAUUAUAACUAAUUUAUGAUAAAUUACUUCAUAGUAUCUGAGCAGUGUUUAGACAAAUUUCAAAAUGUUUUCCUCAGUUUUCCUCAUUUUAAGACAUGGAACAUACCAAAAUGCACACAAAAUCAGUUCACAACUGAAAACAUUCCCACCAAGGGAAAUUCAGUUUUUAUGCCCCACCUACGAUAGUAGAGGGGCAUUAUGUUUUCUGGUCUGUGCCUCUGUUCGUCCGUGCGUCCGUCUGUGCCUCCGUUCGUCCGUCCGUCCGGUUAAAGUUUUUGGUCGAGGUAGUUUUUGAUGAAGCUGAAGUCCAAUCAACUUGAAACUUAAUACACAUGUUCCCCAUGAUCUGAUCUUUCUAAUUUUAAUGCCAAAUUAUAGUUUUGACCCCAAUUUCAUGGUCCACUGAACAUAGAAAAUGAUAGUGCAAAGUUCAGGUUAAAGUUUUUGGUCAAGGUAGUUUUUGAUGAAGUUAAAGUUACAUCAACUUGAAACUUAGUACACAUGUUCCCUAUGAUAUGAUCUUUCUAAUUUUAAUUCCAAAUUAAAGUUUUGACCCCAAUUUCACGGUCCACUGAACAUAGAAAAUGAUAGUGGGAGUGGGGCAUCCGUGUACUAUGGACACAUUCUUGUUAAAAAUAUAUAAAUAACCUGCUUAUGGUACUAUAAGAAUGGAAUGCACAUCAAUAGGACCAAUUUUGACAUUUUCUGUGUGUUAUCAUUCUGGACAAUAACUAUAGGCAUACAUUCAAGACUAUUUGUAAGAAUAUCCCUUGGUGUAGAUGAUUAAAUGAAACAUCCCUGA